rnacentral:rRNA from 1 species
CAGCCGCCGCGGGAAUACGUAGGUGGCAAGCGUUGUCCGGAAUUAUUGGGCGUAAAGCGAGCGCAGGCGGUUAGAUAAGUCUGAAGUUAAAGGCUGUGGCUUAACCAUAGUACGCUUUGGAAACUGUUUAACUUGAGUGCAAGAGGGGAGAGUGGAAUUCCAUGUGUAGCGGUGAAAUGCGUAGAUAUAUGGAGGAACACCGGUGGCGAAAGCGGCUCUCUGGCUUGUAACUGACGCUGAGGCUCGAAAGCGUGGGGAGCAAACAGGAUUAGAUACCCCCGUAGUCCCUGUCUCUUAUACA